UGGGGAAUAUUGCACAAUGGGCGCAAGCCUGAUGCAGCCAUGCCGCGUGUGUGAAGAAGGCCUUCGGGUUGUAAAGUACUUUCAGCGGGGAGGAAGGGAGUAAAGUUAAUACCUUUGCUCAUUGACGUUACCCGCAGAAGAAGCACCGGCUAACUCCGUGCCUGCAGCCGCGGUAAUACGGAGGGUGCAAGCGUUAAUCGGAAUUACUGGGCGUAAAGCGCACGCAGGCGGUUUGUUAAGUCAGAUGUGAAAUCCCCGGGCUCAACCUGGGAACUGCAUCUGAUACUGGCAAGCUUGAGUCUCGUAGAGGGGGGUAGAAUUCCAGGUGUAGCGGUGAAAUGCGUAGAGAUCUGGAGGAAUACCGGUGGCGAAGGCGGCCCCCUGGACGAAGACUGACGCUCAGGUGCGAAAGCGUGGGGAGCAAACAGG
rnacentral:rRNA from 1 species